rnacentral:rRNA from 1 species
CCUACGGGAGGCAGCAGUGGGGAAUAUUGGGCAAUGGCGCAAGCCUGACCCAGCAACGCCGCGUGAAGGGAGAAGGCUUUCGGGUUGUAAACCUCUUUUGACAGGGAAGAGAACAAGACUGUACCUGUCGAAUUAGCCACGGCUAACUACCUGCCGGCAGCCACGGUAGUACGUAGGUGGCAAGCGUGGUCCGGAUUUACUGGGUGUAAGGGGCGUGUAGGCGGGUUGACAAGUCAGUUGUGAAAUCCUGCGGCUUAACCGCAGAACUGCAUUUGAACCUGUAGAUCUUGAGUACUGGAGAGGCAGCCGGAAUUCCUAGUGUAGCGGUGAAAUGCGUAGAUAUUAGGAGGAACACCGGUGGCGAAGGCAGUCUGCUGGACAGCAACUGACGGUGAGGCGCGAAAGCGUGGGGAGCAAACAGGAUUAGAUACCCCAGUAGUC